GUCUAUGGCCAUACCACCCUGAACACGCCUGAUCUCGGAAGCUAAGCAGGGUUGGGCCUGGUUAGUACUUGGAUGGGAGCCACCAGCAUUUGUUAUUGGUU
rnacentral:rRNA from 1 species